UGGACACGGGUGCGCGCCCGAGCGCGCGCGCGUGUAUAUGUAUCACUACUAUGUUACGGCGAAACAAAAUAUUCGCGCACCGACGGUUCCGAUUACGUCAGCUUCGUACACACCCGUCUCUUCUCCCUAAUUAUCUCUAAGACGGUUAAUUAUCAUCAACGGUGAAAACGGUUUGACCUGAAUCCGUCGACACGCGCGCGACGAACGCACGAACGACUGUGAUACCGAGCGUGAUCUAAAAAUGUUGAAAACUCCGAGUAAUAUCGCGAAACGUGACGUAAAUAAGACGUGUAUCGUGGAAUUUUACGCGUGUAUCGUGAUAAAGAUCCAAUUCGAUCGGAUCCGAGCGAGAUUAAUCGCGUUGACGCGUUUCAAUAACUAAACACAAUACGAGAACCGUACGUUGACUAUCCGGCGAGUCAGCGCGCGCGAUGCACGAGUCUUCUCAAAAGACUACACAUCUUUAUCCGAACAUCUUUAUCGGGAACGAGAGGAUGAUCGAGCACUUCUAAAUACGGUAAUGUCAGUAGCAAGUCGUGAAUAAGACUCGUGCUCCGGACACCUGGUAUGAGCGACCGGUGUAAUCGAUCGCGUUUUGUAAAUUUAUCGAGAGAUAUCUAAAAUUUCAGAGACUUUAUUUUAAAACAAAGAUAUUCGAAUAAUAAGUAAACGCCCUAAACUGCUAA